AUUGAACGCUGGCGGCAUGCCUUACACAUGCGAGUCGAACGGUAACAGGUCUUCGGAUGCUGACGAGUGGCGAACGGGUGAGUAAUACAUCGGAACGUGCCCGAUCGUGGGGGAUAACGAGGCGAAAGCUUUGCUAAUACCGCAUACGAUCUACGGAUGAAAGCGGGGGAUCUCCGGACUUCGCGCGGAGGGAGCGGCCGAUGGCAGAUUAGGUAGUUGGUGGGUUAAAAGCUUACCAAGCCGACGAUCUGUAGCUGGUCUGAGAGGAUGAUCAGCCACACUGGGACUGAGACACGGCCCAGACUCCUACGGGAGGCAGCAGUGGGGAAUUUUGGACAAUGGGCGAAAGCCUGAUCCAGCCAUGCCGCGUGCAGGAUGAAGGCCUUCGGGUUGUAAACUGCUUUUGUACGGAACGAAAAGCCUCUUUCUAAUAAAGAGGGGUCAUGACGGUACCGUAAGAAUAAGCACCGGCUAACUACGUG
rnacentral:rRNA from 1 species